UACGGGAGGCAGCAGGGGGAAUAUUGCACAAUGGGCGCAAGCCUGAUGCAGCCAUGCCGCGUGUAUGAAAAAGGCCUUCGGGUUGUAAAGUACUUUCAGUCGUGAGGAAGGUGUUAAGGUUAAUAACCUUAGCAAUUGACGUUAGCGACAGAAGAAGCACCGGCUAACUCCGUGCCAGCAGCCGCGGUAAUACGGAGGGUGCGAGCGUUAAUCGGAAUUACUGGGCGUAAAGGGCACGCAGGCGGUUAAUUAAGUUGGAUGUGAAAUCCCCGGGCUUAACCUGGGAAUGGCAUUCAAGACUGGUUAGCUAGAGUCUUGUAGAGGGGGUAGAUUCCAUGUGUAGCGGUGAAAUGCGUAGAGAUGUGGAGGAAUACCGGUGGCGAAGGCGGCCCCUGGACAAGACUGACGCUCAUGUGCGAAAGCGUGGGGAGCAAACAGGGAUUUAGAU
rnacentral:rRNA from 1 species